rnacentral:misc_RNA from 1 species
UUUCCGUAGGUGAACCUGCGGAAGGAUCAUUAGUGAAUUGAAUAUGUUAGCGGACCUCUUCGGAGUCCCUAGCAUCAAAUCAUAUCCAUAACACCUGUGAACUGUAAGGCUGUCCUGAAAACGAAAGUGAUUAGAGCGCCUGCCCAUUUUAUACAAACAUUAAGGUAACAAACGUAGUCUUAUUAUAAUCUAAUAAAACUUUCAACAACGGAUCUCUUGGCUCUC